AAACCAGCACCUCAAGUGGUCAGGAGGAUUAUUGGGCCUAAAGCAUCCGUAGCCUGUUCUGUAAGUUUUCGGUUAAAUCCAUUAGCUCAACUAAUGGGCCGCCGAAAAUACUGCAUAACUAGGGAGUGGGAGAGGUAGACGGUACUCGGUAGGAAGGGGUAAAAUCCUUUGAUCUAUUGAUGACCACCUGUGGCGAAGGCGGUCUACCAGAACACGUUCGACGGUGAGGGAUGAAAGCUGGGGGAGCAAACCGGAUUAGAAACCCCGGUAGUCC
rnacentral:rRNA from 1 species